rnacentral:lncRNA from 1 species
AGGUUUGAAGGACUUGGGUUCUCCCUGGCAAGUACAUUGAUCAAAGAUUGAGAGGGGAAUGACAGAGAGAAAAUGAGCUGAAAAGUGCAGGCUGCCGGCUGGACGAGUUGUUGUUGUCACACGGUGCAGAGGGGAGGAGCUCCGGAAACUUGAAAUACCCUUUGAAGCCGCAAAAACCUCACUCACUAGUAUUAACCCAAAUUAUCCAACCAGGAACUCGGAGCAGAGACUCCGAGAGCGCGAGACCCAGAGAAAGCGAGAGAGCGGGGGAAAAGGGCGGGGAGGGGGGAGAAUAAGGAAAGAAACUAUGGGAGGGACCGCGAGGAAAAGCCGAGACCCAGAAGUGGCGAUCAGAAAGAGAGACCAUCUACUUUUCUACUACCGUUAGAUUGCAUGUCUUAAUAUUACAUUUCGUCUGAGAAGACUCGUAAUUUUUUCCAAAACCGUCUAAGCAAUCGCCUGCCAACUUAAAGAGGAGCCAGAGCGCUCCGAGCUCUCCUUCAAGGGAUUUAGGAUGUAUCUUGGCUUUUUUUUUUUUUUUUUUUUGGCAAGAGACAUAAAUGAAAACACAUCCCCUGACUUCAUGAUUAUUAAGAAAUUAUUUUGAGGAAAAUCCACAUGAAGCAAAGCGUAUGUUUUCUGUAUCUGAUUAUUUUAUCUGUCGACUCAACUAUUUAUUUGUUUAAAGGUAGUGAAAAUUCCAGGAGAGUUUUCAAUUUGGGGGGGGAAAGUCAGUCUGAAAUAGCUUAAGAAUCAUGGAAUGCUCUGUAUUCAAUUCUUUAUUUCCUAAUAGAUUCUGGAAAGAAAGAAAUGCUUGCUACAGAAAUGUGGAUGGUUCAGGAUAACUUCACUUUCGCCCCAAAGGAUAUCGUUUGAAGCCGAGCUUGUACCAGUUCAGGGAAGGUAUUUUCUUCCCUCCCUCUGCCCCCUCCUGGCCCCUCCCUUCCCCUUCCCCCUCCUUCCGUGGCCCCGACGAUAUCCCUGUGAAUGGAAACUAAUAGAGAGAGUGGUCUCAAGGCUCACCAUCUAUUACUUAACAAAAAUCGGCACAGAAGACAGAGUCCCCUGCAGUAGGAAAUGCAGUUUUGAGAAGAGCUAUAAGGUUGCAGGAGACAGUGAGGAAAUACAGAGUAGCUGUUGCAGCAAAAGUCCCGGUGAAUACCUGGGUGACAACAGGCACUUUAGCCUGAAGAUGAGGGCAUCCUAUUUGGUUAAAAGGGACAGUGACAAGGAAAUGCUUCUGUUGAAACAGGGAAACAUAAAAAUGUACUUUCAAAUCUGUGGUUUAAAAACGAAGAAUAAAUCUGUAGAAAGGUGGACUUAGAAUUGGGAUUUGGUGAGUAUCAUUUUAUUUUCUAAGUAUAAAAACAGGAAUUCUAUGGGGAUUCAUUUUUGACCCUUUUUAUAACCCAGGAAGGCAGAGCACUGUAUUACAUCCAUUCCAUCUUUAUCUAUUGACCUAUUUUAUUCACUGAUUUCUCAAGUGGGGAAACUGACUAAAUGAUUUCACAAAGCUUUCUCUGUAAUCAAUAGUCAUUUUUAAGGUUUAUUCAUGCUGCAUUAUAAUUCUGGUAAAUGACUGCAAAGUAGAAGAUUGUAAGAUAGAUACAAAUAUUGACAAAGCCAGGAUAAGUCAUGUCUUUAAAUCUUUAGGGCUUCAAUAUAGCAAUUGAUAUAGUUAAGACUGAAAAUGGGGAUUUCAUAGAAUAUAAAAAUACUAAAAUGAUCGAGUAACUCUUAAAGGCAAUACAUAUCUGAAUGUUUCUUGAACAUCUCAAAAUUUCCUGAAAGCUUUAAGUAUCCUCUCUUUACACAUCACUAAAUGAAACAGAAACAAUUUAGGAAUAUGCAGAAAGGGGAACAAGAAAAGGCUCCCCGCAAUUUUAUUCUUUUAUUUUUUCCCCAAGUUCAAUUAGAAGCAUGCACAGAAAAAUACAGAUGUAUAUUUCAGAUAGAUACUGAAUUCCUUUCAGUGACAGGACAAGGAGAUAACAUGCUUAAUAGAUUCAAAGGGAGACUUACCAUUCCAAGCACGACGUCACUCUAAUUAUGUUUACUCUAAUUGAAAGCAAGGUUUUUUGGAAUCUGAAAUUACUUUCAGAAUUUUUUUUUAAAUAAUGCAAGUGGAUCAAAUGUUGAUCACAAGCAUUUCAAUCUUUCAAAAUGUAUUGGAAAAUUAAAUGAAAAGUGGAGUUUGGUACAAACAAUGCCCCAGGGCAAAAAACAACUAACACUAGAUUUUCCAGUCCAGCCAUAACACAAAUCAAUUUGAGCACACUUCUAUGGCCAGACUGCCAGAUUGUUAUGACUGCUAAUUCACUCAAUCAAAGAGUGCAUUAGCACACCCGGCACAAAUAGCUUUAACAAUAGGGUGCACUUCUGAACAAUUCUAAGAUAUAGCACAACGGAGAAGUAAAGAGUAAGAUCAUUUUUACAUCUGCAUAUGUACUAAUGGACCUCUUCCUCAAUAGGAAAAAAAAAAAUACAAACUUCAGGCAGAGGUUUAUAAAACAGCUCUCCAAGUUUGGCAAAUCUAGAAAGAUAACAGGGUACCAGUAGUUGACUGACUUUGUUAAACGUUUCUCAGGAGAGAGUCCAAAAUUGAUGUUUGCCCUUCAGUAGUAAAUCAUUGAAGAUGGAGAAAUUAUGCCAAGUAACUCUCUCAAGCCUUUUUAACUCAGUCACAGGGCCUUACCAUCAGCUCAUCAGAUAAACCCUGACUACCUUAAGCAAAGACUUCUCUACUUUUACGCUUCCUGUCUCUGCUCUCCCCACUUGGGGUUCCAACUUCUGAUUUAGAGUCUCACUUCUACAAUCUCCCUCUUUUCCAGUUCCUACCUUUCCUCAAACAAGGAAUAAGGCUUUUAUCUCAAGGAUAGUUCUCUAAUCAGAUGCAGAGAGCUUGGUGAUAAAUUACCUAAAGGACAGAAGGUGGGAAGCUGAACACGUUAUAACUUGAAGCGCUCAAACUUUGUAUUACAAACUUCCAGUCUUAAUAAAGAAGUGGUUAAAAUUAUUAUAAAUAACUCA